rnacentral:sRNA from 2 species
CUAUCAUGGUGGGAAGGUCAAACAGAACGAGUGGUGUUACUUUCAACAACGCCAUUUAGGACACGGGUCCUCCAAAUUUCUCAUUUUUCUAUUCUGAGGCCAAUCUUCGAAAAUCACACAAUUUCCAUCGUCUUUAUAUGUUCUUCAGCUUCUUUCUUUCAGUCAAGGAUCUUUCGAGAGGAUGUAUCAAGCAAAAAAAAAAAAGGGAAAAAAAAAACCGUCAUCCAAAACCCGCGCAGAACUAGGAAUGGAGCGAAAUAUCCUAAAAAUGCGACACUGAGCCACCACAAAUAAACAAAAAAGAAAAUAACAGAAGAAAAAAGAAAAACAAAACAAUUCUAACGUCAUACUUCCCCAACGUCACAAAUAGUAGUCCAUUGAAUGUUCUUUAAACCACGUGGGACUGACAGCCCCUCAACAGUCCAACUGGCAAUAGCUAACUCAAACACCCAGGCAAGAAUAGUCUUCCCCCAAUGCGUCUCCCUGCCCCAGAUCGCAUCCUCAAUAACAGCCCCAACACCAUUCAGAAUAAAGAAAGCGUAGAUCCGGGCGAGAGCAUCGAAGGGUAAUAGAGGCUUCAGGCCAUACACGUGGAAAAACCCCAUCAGCCCAAACGACGCAACCACGCCAAGAGCCCUGGCUAUGGACACUGGCACGCCGUAUCGUUCGGGUAGAGUAUACCGUAUCGGCUCAUAUGCGAGCGAGCGGCAGGGACUGGCAAAAGCACUGUGCCAUGUUUCACUCCAGAACGUGCUCAAGGAAGUUGCCGUGUAAAGAGGUCCAAACAACGGAGGGCUGGUGCGGUAACGGAGUAGAAGCUGAAGGCUCUCCCAAAGUACAUAUAUGGCGAGUAGAACUUCCAAAGCAACCACUGUAGGGUUCGAUUGUGGAAAGAACGUUUGUAGAAUGGCAAAAAGUAUGGCGUGGAGUACGAGAUUGCCCUGUUCGGUAAAGUGAGGUUUCCAUUGCUUCGACUUGGGACUUCCCCGACCAUUGCGAUAGCUAUUUUCACUCUUCCCUUUUGAGAGACUGGGUGCUGGGGCGGGGCCGAGCCGUGUGGUGUUUGGUGUAAAAGAUUCGUACCGCAAUUCUGUCAGGUAG